rnacentral:tRNA from 1 species
AGGAUAAUAGUUAAAAUUUAUAACAUUUAAUUUGCAUUUAAAAAUAACUGGAAUCAGUUUAUCUUA